ACUGCUUUUGUAGGUGUUCCUGAAACAAAAUGUCCUGUCCUAGAUUGUAUUUACUUGUAAAAACAGGUCACUCUGAGAUAUCCAUGUAAUAAGUAUAAAUUUUUAACUUGGAAUACCAGACAUAUCUAAAAAUAUACACUGGAAUAUACCUGGAAAGCCAAGCUUACUAUAUUUGUAUAUAUAUCUUUACCUUAUACCAGUAUUUGUUUCAUUUUGAAAGAAUUGUUGCUGCUUACAGCCAGAAGAGAUCAAAUGUGCAUAUAUAUCAGAGAGGUACAUUUAUGGCACAGUAUUUGCAGGGGAAGGGCCUGAAUUCGCAAUCCUGGGUAGUGUGUCUCUCCAAACUGUUGUGGGGCAGCUUUUCUGUGCAGCCAAGGUUUUCAUGUGUGCAGGGGACUGGUCUGUACUCGCAGGACUCUACAUGUCUCUGGAAUGUAAAGUUCUUACAUCCAGUUCGACCCAUUUGACUUGCUUCUCACAUCCGAGCUGUUUGUAAAUGCAGAAAACAGAAGUAUAACAUUGGGGCAGUUGUCGAAACUCUUGCGAAGGGACCGCCGACAACAAAGUACUUUGAAGUUUUGUUUGUUUCAAGAGAUGUUGUUGAAAAGCUGCUAUCUUCGCCCGAACUAACAUAUAGAAGGAGGUGUUUUUUUUUCUGUUAUAAACUCUCAGAUUGUUGAGUGUAUGUGGCACUGACUUCCUGUCCAUUUAGGGGACUUUGUUGUGAAAAGCAUUUUUCAACCUUACGGUAAGGCAAUUAACAUUGAGGACAUGGAAGUGAAAUAUGGAGUGGCCAAGAUCAGGAAUUGUGUUAGGAUUGUGAAACUAGGGGUGACAUAGGAGGAAUGGGGGUUAUUCCCCAAUUGCUUUACUUUCCUUGUGGAAGUUAGGCGUUUGUGAUAAUGCAGGGACGUGCGCCUUUGUGUCUGAGAUGUAAACGUGUGGACACUCGAGGAGCUCCUGCCCGAGGAUUGCAACUAAAGCUAGGGCAGAUUUUGCAAGUGCGGCCUAAGCCAUUACGCUUGAGGCAGACAAACCAGACAGGAAUAUGCUUUGGAGACGGGGGAAGACCAGGAGGUGCGGGAGGUCACAGCCGAAGGACAUGACGGGACUGGAUAUCAGAAGAGGAAGAAGGAACGUGAGGAGGAGAGCAGAUAGAGUGAGGAGGAGAAUGAGGUGAUGUAAAUUAAGACGAGAGGGGAGAAGCGGUCUGGCCAAACGGUGUUCAGUCAGAUUCUUCUUGAGAAUCCGAUGACCCGCACGGAGUCCACUGCCAAGGAUUCGGUCAUGUAUGAGCUCCUGGCUCUACAGAGCCCUACCAUCCUUCAUUCUUCCUUGGACAAGAUCCGCUACCAAGGUGUGUUAAUUAUACACACUUAGGCAUAGAUUGUAAUAAAACGCUCUCGGUACAAGAACGCAUGCAUCAAAAUACGUGGGGCGUAUAUGAACAUUUGCAGUAGUGGCAUCGACCCCGACACCAUCAGCGCAAAGACAUUAAGAUUUAAGAGUAUUAUACACCUCAGUUGUUUUACCAAAAGCUCUUUAUGGCUGCUAGCUAUGGAACAUCUAUUCUAAACAGGAUAUCAAGAGACUCGAAACUGCGCAUCAUUUCUGCAUGAAGCACAUGCAAUGAUUUCAAAGGAACAUCUCUACCAAAUAUGUGUUGAUGACGCUUAAUAUGACAUCCAUAGAAACUACUAUAGACUUUUAAAAGCUUCAACUGUUGUGUCAGCUAUGUAGACUAUCCAGUCAAUACUUAUUAAACUACAUUCUCAUUAACAGGCUAAUUCGAUUUAUGCACUAUGAUAAACAAAGCGUGGGUUUCAUUCCAGAUAUCUUUUGAUUACUACAGAAAUCUAGCCUAGUUGAAUAUUUAACGAAGUCUAUUGAUACUGGAAAGAUUCCAUCAAAAUACGCAUGGAAAAGACUAUUGAAUCGCAUCGUUAAACGCAUGAGCUACGAUGAAAGAACUAUCGAAAACCAAGCCGUUAUAAAUGUUGUAUCUUAUAAUAGCUGUUCGCCACUAUGGGACAUUGCAAAAACAAGACCAAGGCUUCGUUCUGUUUGUAACUUAAUCUUGAAUGAACUAGGACUGUUUAUUUCAGGCCAAUGUGUUCAGAUAUGUAAAUCCUGUCAAUUGUUGACUGAUAAUAUGUGUGUUCAUCUUCUUCUGUUUUGUCACGAGAAAUAUCUAUCUUUGCGAUACGAUAUACGACCAUUGUGGUCUCGAGACUUAUAAGGCGAUUAUGACAAUGACUUGUUCUGACCAAUGUGCUCACGUGUUUGCUGUCAGUAUAGAAAAUGAUAACGGCUGCUUAGUAAAUUAUCCAAUUGCAUGCACUUGUUUGUUGUUGUUGUUGUUUGUAAAUUAUGUAAAGCUGUUGGCUAUAAUCUGGCUUAACAUUUUUUUUCUGUUUGAAACUCUCGCAGAGUUUAUAAUGUUAUUUAUGUAGUCAGUGUGUUAAUAGUAUGAUAAUAUACUGAUAGUUUUUUUUUAUUCUCGGUUUGAUAAACUUGCUGAAUGAUAUGAUAUGUAUUCAUCAAUGUGUAUUUACUGUCUAUAAUGUUGUAUAUAAUUGUAUAUAAGUUCAUCUCUUCAAUUUUGGAGGAAUAAAAUAAUCUAUCUACCAUUACACUCACUUAAACUUCAUAUACAUUUAAACACGUUAAACAAAUGAUCUUAGAAUGGAUAUUUUUUGUAAUCUUUUUUUUAUCUCGGAAUUUAAUCUUAUCUGGAGAUUUUAAUUUCAUUUUUAACACCAAACUAGUUAAAAUUGGUGGAUACCUAGAGAAAGGUGGUCUUAGGUCUAAGUGCUUUUCUUCAAUUAUUAAAACAUAUGGUAUGACUGAUGUUUAUAGAUACCCAACA